rnacentral:rRNA from 1 species
UACGUAGGGGGCUAGCGUUGUCCGGAAUCAUUGGGCGUAAAGCGCGUGUAGGCGGUCCGGUAAGUCCGCUGUGAAAGUCGGGGGCUCAACCCUCGGAUGCCGGUGGAUACUGUCGGGCUUGAGUACGGAAGAGGCGAGUGGAAUUCCUGGUGUAGCGGUGAAAUGCGCAGAUAUCAGGAGGAACACCAAUUGCGAAGGCAGCUCGCUGGGACGUUACCGACGCUGAGACGCGAAAGCGUGGGGAGCAAACAGG